rnacentral:tRNA from 1 species
GUCUCAAUAGCUCAGUGGAUAGAGUGCUGGCACGGUACACCAUAGGCCCUGGGUUCAAGUCCCGGUUGAGACU